UCAUAAUGUCAAGAAUAAAAAAGAAUAUUGAUGGGUCUGUAUGGUUCUACUGUAAUGGGCCGUCAUCUUCUCCACUCCUCAUCGAUUUUUCUUUCCACCGAAACAUAGACGAUAACAGCUGAAUCGAAAUUGAUAUACCCAUAUAUUUUUAAAAUCCAUAUACUUCUUCGAUAUAUUUGUCUUUGUUAGAGUAUUUGAUUGUCUAAACGGAUUUUCGCUGUGGGUUUCUUAAAUUUUAAUCGGUGGCUUUGUAAACAGUGUUGUUGUGAAUUCCUCAAAGAGGUCAAGCGAUUUCCCUACUGCAAACCGUGGAAGAAUACACCGCGACAAUAAGUGCCUUUGAUUAUUUUCGAUUGUUCUGGAAGUGACUAGCAGUAGAUUUUGUGAAAUGUAAAUCAGGCAACAGAUGAGCAUGGAAUUUAAAAAACAAACAUUCCAUCUUGAUCCUUAACCUUGGUUCCCAAUCGGGCUGGCUUCAAUUUUAUCGGCGUGCUUAUUCUGUUAUUCAAAUAGACAAUAUAGAUUCUGGAUGAAGUUCUGAAACAUCAUUGACUUGAGCCAUGUGAGAUGAAACCGGAGAAAAUGUAAGUUUAUUGGAAACUGUGGACACAAAUGAUCAAAGUCGCCCUUAUAGAAAGGAAAGGAUUUGAUUAUUGGGUGAGUCUUAUAUGGUUCUCCGCGUGAUCCAAAUUUAUAGACGAAAAAUAUGGUAAUUAUUUACUACGAUGACGUCUAUGCAAAAUGGAUUGCGAGAACCAGUUUGUUUGGACACAUAGCUAUCUUAUCAAAUAUCCGAAUACAUUAAUAGCCAAACAUAGAGGAUCCGCGUGUUUUUUACUUUUAAGAUUACAUCUUUGUCCUCAACUGUUUUUUUCUUUGUUCUUUCCCUUUUUAUUUCGUAUGGAUAUUUCAUGUCAUACAUGAUUAAUUUUUUUUUUAUCUGUAAGUGUACUUCCCAAUUAAUAGUAUAGAUUUACUAUCUUACUAUAUAUUUUCUAAUGUUUUCUAAAGUAAACAUUUUGGUUUUA